GCCAUGCUGAAAACAUCAGCAACUCUGCGUCAGAAUUGCAGAAAGAGAGACAUCUUGCUAGAACACGGCCCUAAUUCCUCGUUCUGUUUUGUACCCAGCCAGAACCAAUAAACUGUGCGCGAGCACCGGGGAGCAUUUUUGUCUGCCCACACCUGUUGGGAGAUGAAAAAUUGCACAGGGGGAAGGCCAAAAUGAGGCCCUCUAACCCAGUGGAAGACACCCCCAGAACACACACACACACACACACACACACACACUCACUUACACCAAACAAACAAAAUAAAGCAGUUGAAAAAGCCA